rnacentral:rRNA from 1 species
UACGUAGGGUGCAAGCGUUAAUCGGAAUUACUGGGCGUAAAGCGUGCGCAGGCGGCGCGUUAAGACAGGUGUGAAAGCCCCCGAGCUUAACUUGGGAAUUGCGCUUGUGACUGGCGUGCUGGAGUGUGGCAGAGGGAGGUGGAAUUCCACGUGUAGCAGUGAAAUGCGUAGAGAUGUGGAGGAACACCGAUGGCGAAGGCAGCCUCCUGGGCCAGCACUGACGCUCAGUGCACGAAAGCGUGGGGAGCAAACAGG